rnacentral:rRNA from 1 species
UACGGAGGGUGCUAGCGUUGUUCGGAAUUACUGGGCGUAAAGCGCACGUAGGCGGCUGUUCAAGUCAGAGGUGAAAGCCCGGAGCUCAACUCCGGAACUGCCUUUGAAACUAGAUAGCUCGAAUAAUGGAGAGGCGAGUGGAAUUCCGAGUGUAGAGGUGAAAUUCGUAGAUAUUCGGAAGAACACCAGUGGCGAAGGCGGCUCGCUGGACAUGUAUUGACGCUGAGGUGCGAAAGCGUGGGGAGCAAACAGG